rnacentral:sRNA from 1 species
GCGACCUUCAGCUGAAGAACUUGCCUGCACAAUCAAAUAUAUAUAUUUUCACUCAAGUUCUAUCUUCUUCCGUUACCAGAUGAUACUCAACCUCUGCAUCCGUAAAUGUUAAUGCUUUCUGCAACUUUCUGUGGCAGAGAACCUCAACAUCUGCCAUGAAGACUGCAGUCACAGGGCGGUGAUCAGAAAGCUUAAGCUCUCCUCUCCUGUAGGAAAUUAACCUGAUUCCCUUUCCUCUGCUAUGAAAAACUAACAUACCAUGCUGGUGUUCUCCUUCCAGAUUUUGGCUCAUCACUUACAUACUUUUCUGAGUCAAACUCGUAUUUAUAUGUUGGGGGGAAGCUGAUAUCUCCUUCGAUCCAACCAUCAAAAGUGUGUCCUUUACUCAAUUCUCUUUUUAGCUGAUCAUUCUCAAACAAUCCAUCCCAAUCUUGCUUGGAGAUAAGUUCAUGUGCUCUUUCAUAUGAUAAGUUGAUUCGGUAGUUGAGAUCUCCAAACCAUAUGAUCCUUUCAUGACCCAAUAUUCCCUUAGGCGUGCUAAGUCCAGGAAGUGGGUUAAAUACUGUUCUUCGGAGGAUUUCUUCAACAUCUGCAUUUCUUUUCAGUUCAUCGCCAUCCUUUUCUCCAGAAGUUAGGUGGCAACAUACAAAGCAAAAAUGUGUCUGAUGUAUAGACAUGCUGACUGAUAUUGAUGCCUUGUUGCCCAUAUAACCCAUUGCACCUACACCGACAGUUGAUACUCUCAAAUUCUGAAUGUGCUUCCGCAAGUCUCUCCGAACCCAUAUUGAAAGAUAUAUUCCCACCAUUUGCUUGCUUACUAUUCGCAGAAAGCAUGGCCUUUUACUUUUAAUCACUCCAUUGUCACUGUUAACUUGAUGGGAUAAAUCAUCAUUUGGAAAAUUCACUGUUGAUUUCAAAGAUGCUGGAGUUGCUAGAGCCUUCAGUGAAUUGGGGGACUGAUCAGAAGUCUUUACUGAAUCCAUCCUGCUGAAAUCUUUGCCUUUAUGAACUCUUCCGUUGGAAGCAGCACUGAAGUUUUCAUAUGUUUUAUCAUGAACUACAUCAUUGUCAAUAGCUAUAUCAUCAUUUUGUUUAAUCAAUGGAUGAAGCUCACCAUAAUUGUCACUGUCAGACUCGCUAAGCAAUUCAUCUUUCAUCACCAUAACAUAAUCUGAUGGAUUAAACCUUGAUGGUGAAGGAGGAUCACUGUGACAUUUAUACUGCGGCUUAUCUGGACAAAUCUUAUUCAAAGUUUCACGAAUAAUAUGCUCCCAUACUGCAAUUGGACUGUUAUCCUCAGAACCAAAUAUGUUUCCAGCAUUUAAUGGAACAAUUUCUUGAAAUCCAAGAACAUAAAUAUCAGCCUGCUCCUCCUUAUCCAACCAGUCUUGAAUGUCCAGAUCACUGGGUGGAAACUUGCCUGCAAGAUUCCAUAAAAUUCUAUACGGCUAUACCUGAGUUCUCUGAUGUCAAUAUACUGAGCGCGAAGGGUCUCUGAUUUGCGUCUUCUAAGCCUGUAAGGCAUAGAUUUAAUUUCAUCCCCUACAUUGUACAAGAGCAAAGCUUGAGUAAACUGGAUCAAAUCAGAGCAGCUAGGAAGGAAGAGGAGAGGGGACGGUGACUCGGUGAGGCAGGUUAACCUUCGCCGUCGAGCUCGCCGUCGCUGGCGUCGCACUCGUCGGCGCUGAAGUCGGAGUCGCCCGACCCGGAGCCGACGUUGAGCCACUUGCGAAGCACCACCCUGCGCCACAGCCGCAGCGCGCCGCACCAGCAAUCCACGCCGCAGCACAGCAUCAUCAACUGGUACCUGGUUCUCCCUCCUGCCCCCGCACCGCAUCUGGGACGCGGCCAUGGCUGGCUCCUGGAGCUGGUGGCCUCGGCGAGGUAGGAGCGGCGACGAGGCGGAGGAGGAAGAGGACGCCAUU